GAUGAACGCUAGCGAUAGGCUUAACACAUGCAAGUCGAGGGGCAGCAUGGUCUUAGCUUGCUAAGACUGAUGGCGACCGGCGCACGGGUGCAUAACGCGUAUGCAACUUGCCUCACAGAGGGGGAUAACCCGUCGAAAGACGGACUAAUACCGCGUCCACUUGGAGGGAGGCAUCUCCCAUCAAGGAAAAGAAAUUCGCUGUGAGAUAGGCAUGCGUCCAAUUAGCUAGUUGGUGAGGUAACGGCUCACCAAGGCAACGAUGGGUAGGGGAACUGAGAGGUGUAACCACCACACUGGUACUGAGACACGGACCAGACUCCUGCGGGAGGCAGCAGUGAGGAAUAGUGGUCAAUGGGCGAGAGCCUGAACCAGCCAAGUCGCGUGAAGGAUGACUGUCUUAUGGAUUGUAAACUUCUUUUGUAGGGGAAUAAAGAACGGUACGUGUACCGUAGUGAAUGUACCCUACGAAUAAGCAUCGGCUAACUUCGUGCCAGCCGCCGCCGUAA
rnacentral:rRNA from 1 species